rnacentral:rRNA from 1 species
UGGAUUGGCUUCUGAGGGUUGGGUGCACGGAUCCUUGCUUAAAUGUCAGCGCUGAGCAUCAGCUGCUCACCAUUCAUAUGAACAGUGGCUGUGUUGCAUAGCAAAGACUGCUAAGUUUGGAAUGCUUGAUAUGAGCUUCUUUUCACAUUGAACAACUGAUUCAGAACUGAAGCGCAAAAGGGGAAUCCGACUGUUUAAUUAAAACAAAGCAUUGUGAUGGCAUUUUGAAUGUGUUGAUGCAAUGUGAUUUCUGCCCAGUGCUCUGAAUGUCAAGGUGAUGAAAUUCAAACAAGCGCGGGUAAACGGCGGGAGUAACUAUGACUCUCUUAAGGUAGCCAAAUGCCUCGUCAUCUAAUUAGUGACGCGCAUGAAUGGAUUAACGAGAUUCCUACUGUCCUUACUUUCAAUUUAGCGAAACCACAGCCAAGGGAACGGGCUUGGGUUAGUCAGCGGGGAAAGAAGACCCUGUUGAGCUUGACUCUAGUCUGACAUUGUGAAAUGACUCAGGAGGUGUAGAAUAAGUGGGAGUAUUCUUGCAAUCAUGAAAUACCACUACUCUUGAUGUUAUUUUACUUAUUCUGUGAAACUCGUUCUUGCAUUUGCAUGUUGUUGCUCUCCAGCCAUUAUGCGUUGGUGUAUUUGUGUGGAAUAAUGUGUCAGGUAGGGAGUUUGGCUGGGGCGGCACAUCUGUCAAAUGAUAACGCAGGUGUCCUAAGGUGAGCUCAAUAAGAACAGAAAUCUUAU